rnacentral:rRNA from 1 species
UGGGGAAUUUUGGACAAUGGGCGCAAGCCUGAUCCAGCAAUGCCGCGUGCAGGAUGAAGGCCUUCGGGUUGUAAACUGCUUUUGUACGGAACGAAACGGUCCUUUCUAAUAAAGGGGGCUAAUGACGGUACCGUAAGAAUAAGCACCGGCUAACUACGUGCCAGCAGCCGCGGUAAUACGUAGGGUGCGAGCGUUAAUCGGAAUUACUGGGCGUAAAGCGUGCGCAGGCGGUGAUGUAAGACAGAUGUGAAAUCCCCGGGCUCAACCUGGGACCUGCAUUUGUGACUGCAUCGCUAGAGUACGGCAGAGGGGGAUGGAAUUCCGCGUGUAGCAGUGAAAUGCGUAGAUAUGCGGAGGAACACCGAUGGCGAAGGCAAUCCCCUGGGCCUGUACUGACGCUCAUGCACGAAAGCGUGGGGAGCAAACAGG